rnacentral:misc_RNA from 1 species
GGAAGGAUCAUUAUCGAAAAGCAAUCCGGGGGGGAGGCGACCGAGCGAAGUUUGGUAGAUCGUAGGGAUUGUCGCUGGCCUUUGGAAACGAAGGCAUGUGCACGUUCCGAGUUCUCCUUAGUCCUCCUUUGCCUUUCCUUUGGAAAACCCUUUCUUCACACCCGUGCACCCAUUGUAGGUCUCCGCGAGGGGAUCUAUGUCUUCACAUAAACACUACGUAUGUCUAGGAAUGUAUCUAAAAGCGUCGGACGGCUUGGCUUCGUGCCCGGUCUGCGACGGUAAAGAACCAUAAUACAACUUUCAGCAACGGAUCUCUUGGCUCUCGCAUCGAUGAAGAACGCAGCGAAUUGCGAUAAGUAAUGUGAAUUGCAGAUUUUCAGUGAAUCAUCGAAUCUUUGAACGCACCUUGCGCUCCUUGGUAUUCCGAGGAGCAUGCCUGUUUGAGUGUCAUUUAAUUCUCAACCAUCCCUCGAUUCGUUUCGAGGGUUUUGGCUUGGAUUUUGGGGGGCUGCCGGGCGACCCUAGGGUCUUCGGCUCUCCUUAAAAGCAUUAGCGAUGGCGGCGCGAUCUAACCCCCCCAUGCAUGAACGGCCUUCGACGUGAUAAUGAUCGUCGUGGCUGGAGUGUUUAGUGGGUGUCGUGAAGUCGCGCUUCUAAAGACCUUUGUCGAAAGACGAAAACUCGAAAACUUGACCUCAAAUCAGGUAGGACUACCCGCUGAACUUAAGCAUAUCAAUAAGCGGAGGAAAAGAAACUAACAAGGAUUCCCCUAGUAACUGCGAGUGAAGCGGGAUGAGCUCAAAUUUUGAAUCUGGCGGUCUUCAGGCCGUCCGAGUUGUAAUCUAGAGAAGCGUCUUCCGCGCUGGACCGUGUACAAGUCUCCUGGAAGGGAGCGUCGUAGAGGGUGAGAAUCCCGUCUUUGACACGGACCGCCAGUGCUAUGUGAUGCGCUCUCGACGAGUCGAGUUGUUUGGGAAUGCAGCUCAAAUCGGGUGGUAAACUCCAUCUAAAGCUAAAUAUUGGCGAGAGACCGAUAGCGAACAAGUACCGUGAGGGAAAGAUGAAAAGAACUUUGGAAAGAGAGUUAAACAGUACGUGAAAUUGCUGAAAGGGAAACGCUUGAGGUCAGUCGCGUCGGACGGGGAUCAACCUUGCUUCUCGCUCGGUGUACUUCCUGCUCGACGGGUCAGCAUCAGUUUCGGUCGCCGUACAAGGGUCGAGGGAAUGUGGCACUCCUCGGAGUGUGUUAUAGCCUUCGGUCGCAUGCGGUGGUUGGGACUGAGGAACUCAGCACGACCCCCUCGAGGGUUCGGGGCCACGGCCUACGUUAACGUGCUUAGGAUGCUGGCAUAAUGGCCUUAAGCGACCCGUCUUGAAACACGGACCAAGGAGUCUAACAUGCCUGCGAGUGUUUGGGUGCAAAACUCGAGCGCGCAACGAAAGUGAAAGUCGAGACCUCUGUCGUGGAGGGCACCGACGCCCGGACCUGAGUCUUUGACGACGGAUCUGCGGUAGAGCAUGUAUGUUGGGACCCGAAAGAUGGUGAACUAUGCCUGAAUAGGGUGAAGCCAGAGGAAACUCUGGUGGAGGCUCGUAGCGAUUCUGACGUGCAAAUCGAUCGUCGAAUUUGGGUAUAGGGGCGAAAGACUAAUCGAACCAUCUAGUAGCUGGUUCCUGC